rnacentral:rRNA from 1 species
CCUACGGGUGGCAGCAGUGGGGAAUAUUGCACAAUGGGGGAAACCCUGAUGCAGCAACGUCGCGUGGGUGAAGGCGCGUUUCGGCGCGUAAAGCCCUGUCAGCGGGGAAGUAGAAAGACGGUACUCGACCAAGAAGCCCCGGCUAACUACGUGCCAGCAGCCGCGGUAAUACGUAGGGGGCGAGCGUUAUCCGGAUUUAUUGGGUGUAAAGGGUGCGUAGACGGGAAGUCAAGUUGGUUGUGAAAUCCCUCGGCUUAACUGAGGAACUGCAACCAAAACUAACUUUCUUGAGUGCUGGAGAGGAAAGUGGAAUUCCUAGUGUAGCGGUGAAAUGCGUAGAUAUUAGGAGGAACACCAGUGGCGAAGGCGGCUUACUGGACUGUAACUGACGUUGAGGCUCGAAAGCGUGGGGAGCAAACAGGAUUAGAUACCCCAGUAGUC